AAACGUGACUCUAGCACCCUAAGGAGACACACUGUGUCUAAUAAAACCACUUUCUUGCAGUUCAGUGAUCUGUUUCCUCAGCUCUUCCAUCUCAACGUGGCUCAUGCGGUAAGGAGCAACCGAAAUGUGCUAGGUGCCUGGUCGUAGGUCUAUAGUGAACUCAACUUCCUUGUCCACUGGCAAUCCGGGCAGUUCGUCCGGAAACACAUCUGGAAAGUCUCGGACUACCGGAAUCUCUUGGAUACAAAUUUCCUUCUUGGGCUUGCCUAGUUAAAAAAAAUAGUAAGGUUAAAGUACUUGAAAAU
rnacentral:lncRNA from 1 species